UUACGACCAUAUCACAUUGAAACACCAGUUCCCAUACGAUCACUGAAGUUAAGCAAUAUUAAGCCUGGUUAAUACCUAGAUGGGUGACUGCUUGGGAAUACUAGGUGC